AACAAACGCUGGCAGCGUGCCUAAUACAUGCAAGUCGAACGGGGAAAGCUUUCGGGUGAGUACUAGUGGCGCACGGGUGAGUAACGCGUGGAUAAUCUGCCUUAGAGUGGGGGAUAACUAGUCGAAAGAUUAGCUAAUACCGCAUAAGACCACAAGAACUGCGGUUCAAGAGGUCAAAGGUUUUUCGCUCUAAGAUGAGUCCGCGUAAGAUUAGCUAGUUGGUGAGGUAACGGCUCACCAAGGAAACGAUCUUUAACUGGUCUGAGAGGAUGAUCAGUCACACUGGAACUGAGACACGGUCCAGACGCCUACGGGAGGCAGCAGUAGGGAAUAUUGCACAAUGGAGGAAACUCUGAUGCAGCGACGCCGCGUGAGUGAUGAAGGCCUUCGGGUCGUAAAGCUCUGUCGCAGGGGAAUAACACAAUGAAUGUACCCUGUAAGAAAGGAUCGGCUAACUUCGUGCCAGCCGCCGCCGUAAUAC
rnacentral:rRNA from 1 species